rnacentral:rRNA from 1 species
UGGGGAAUUUUGGACAAUGGGCGCAAGCCUGAUCCAGCAAUGCCGCAUGCAGGAUGAAGGCCUUCGGGUUGUAAACUGCUUUUGUACGGAACGAAACGGCUCUGUCUAAUACAUGGGGCUAAUGACGGUACCGUAAGAAUAAGCACCGGCUAACUACGUGCCAGCAGCCGCGGUAAUACGUAGGGUGCAAGCGUUAAUCGGAAUUACUGGGCGUAAAGCGUGCGCAGGCGGUUGUGUAAGACAGAUGUGAAAUCCCCGGGCUCAACCUGGGAACUGCAUUUGUGACUGCACAGCUGGAGUGCGGCAGAGGGGGAUGGAAUUCCGCGUGUAGCAGUGAAAUGCGUAGAUAUGCGGAGGAACACCGAUGGCGAAGGCAAUCCCCUGGGCCUGCACUGAUGCUCAUGCACGAAAGCGUGGGGAGCAAACA